rnacentral:rRNA from 1 species
UACGUAGGGGGCAAGCGUUGUCCGGAUUCAUUGGGCGUAAAGAGCGUGUAGGCGGCCAGGUAGGUCGGUUGUGAAAACUGGAGGCUCAACCUUCAGAGGUCGACCGAAACCAUCUGGCUAGAGUCCGGGAGAGGAGAGUGGAAUUCCUGGUGUAGCGGUGAAAUGCGCAGAUAUCAGGAGGAACACCAGCGGCGAAGGCGGGUUGCUGGGCUGAUACUGACGCUGAGGCGCGAAAGCCGGGGGAGCGAACGGG